CCUCUCUAACCCUAGCUCGUCACCAUUAUCUAACUAAGGUUUUAUUUCCGUCGCCACAAUGAGAGCCAAGUGGAAGAAGAAGCGUAUGAGGAGAUUGAAGAGGAAGCGCCGAAAGAUGAGACAGAGAUCUAAGUAGAGAGACAGACAUUGAUGGAUUUCUAUUUUCAUUUUUCGGAGUCGGUUCUUAUCUCUUUUGUUGCCAUCUUAACUUUAGUUAGUGAGAGUUGAAUCUUGUUUUGUUAUUGUUUUUGAUAAUACAAUUUGUAGGGAAAUCAAUUUUAUGAAUCUCAAGUUUUUAGUGUUAUCCUUUGUUCAUCUUA